rnacentral:rRNA from 1 species
CGACCCCAGGUCAGGCGGGACUCACCCGCUGAGUUUA